UGGCUCAGAUUGAACGCUGGCGGCAGGCCUAACACAUGCAAGUCGAACGGUAGCACAGAGAGCUUGCUCUCGGGUGACGAGUGGCGGACGGGUGAGUAAUGUCUGGGAAACUGCCUGAUGGAGGGGGAUAACUACUGGAAACGGUAGCUAAUACCGCAUAACGUCGCAAGACCAAAGAGGGGGACCUUCGGGCCUCUUGCCAUCAGAUGUGCCCAGAUGGGAUUAGCUAGUAGGUGGGGUAACGGCUCACCUAGGCGACGAUCCCUAGCUGGUCUGAGAGGAUGACCAGCCACACUGGAACUGAGACACGGUCCAGACUCCUACGGGAGGCAGCAGUGGGGAAUAUUGCACAAUGGGCGCAAGCCUGAUGCAGCCAUGCCGCGUGUAUGAAGAAGGCCUUCGGGUUGUAAAGCAGCGGG
rnacentral:rRNA from 1 species